AGCUUCAUAAUAAACCAGGUAAUAGAAUUCUAAAACAUUUAACAUUAAUUAAACACAUUAGUGUAGUUGCAAAAAUGAGUUAAAAAUAACAAAGUUACAAUGCACAGUAUGGGUCUUUUCGUCUAUAAACAUUGCUUAAAUACUUCUUUUGCUAAACUUAAAGUUACGAUUUCGCGCAAAUACAUCCUGAGCUGAGGACUGCAUAUUUAAGCCGUGAGCAAAUACAGCGGUCACGCGAACGCUUUGCUUUGUGUUGUAUAUAACGACGAUGAAAAGUGCAUUGAAAAGUAAACAACUACGAAGGGGAAUCCCCUGUAACAACAACAGCGUUUUUAGUAAGGCAUGAAGAGGAGAAACUCAGACGUCAAAAUGAAAAGUAAUUGAAAGUUGUCACUCUGCGGGCUUAUGUGUUAUUUGUGAGCCUGAGGCAUUUAAGAAGCAUCAUUGAAAAUAAGCUGUUUGCUGAACUAAAGCUUUGGAUAAUCAGGCAAACUAAGGGGUUGAAGCAUUGGCACUCUGUUGCACAUGAAGCAUGACAUGAGGUGUGGGGUAGUCACACCCAAGGGUUAUAUUACAAAACAUAACACAUGGAUAACACAAAAUAUGACGCUUGUGGGCUACGGAAGCUGGCUACAAAAGUCACAACAGACCGUUGAUGUUUUUUAUCAACAAGUACAGCACUCGCAGUGUUUACCAAAUUAAAAGCCCGGAAACUUUCACUGUUGGACAAUUUCCAGUUAAUUGACGGUUGAGCAGCACCAGGCUACAAAUAAGCCAAACUUGAACAAAAACACCCAAUUUUGAACCAGCAAGUUAAAUCUAAUCGAUUAUAACGUCUAGCCAUACACAUAGUACAUGACACACAUAAAUACAAAAGUAUCAAUUCAUGAUUCGUGUAAAACGACUUUAUUCGUACCCCUAAAACAUAAUUUUAUUGAUAAAAAUCUAAAUCGUUGAUAUUUCUUCUUCUUAUUACAAUAAUGUCGCGAAGAUAAGUUUCAAAUCUGAUAGAUUUAAUAUCUUAUAUUUUAAUGCACUUAGUCUCCGAAAUUUAGUUUAUAUACCUCAUGUUUUUAACUGUUUACAGUAAAUGAAAAAACUUUCCCAGUUUUAAGCUUGCUUGUCAGCAACUGUAAACCCCCAUGUUACAACUUUGGUGUCCGAGACCAAAAGUUACUUUUAGAAAGUUUGGUGGUUUAUUUAACAUUUUAAAAACGUGAUUACGUAUCUAUGUAUUACUUUAACACAUGCUAUAUUUGCGCUAAUCAAUAUAUAGGCCUACGCACAUUGUAAAAAGGCCCCCGUGCGCCAUUAAAUACAUUGGGUUUUCAAUUAUAAAUCGCGUUUAUACCGAUAACUUCUUUCUUUCUGGACAUUUUUUUCGCGCACUUUUUGCGGCAAAGUUUAGAUUUAAACUACGCAUUUAUGUACCACAGUUUUUAAUAAAAGCUGAUAUUAA